UACGUAGGAGGCGAGCGUUGUCCGGAUUUAUUGGGCGUAAAGCGCGCGUAGGCGGCGCGGUAUGUCGUGCGUGAAAUCUCCCGGCUUAACUGGGAGGGGCCGUGCGAAACUGCCGGGCUUGAGGUCGGAAGGGGAAAGUGGAAUUCCGGGUGUAGUGGUGGAAUACGUAGAUAUCCGGAGGAACACCAGCGGCGAAGGCGCUUUCUGGUCCGAUACUGACGCUGAGG
rnacentral:rRNA from 1 species